AUGCGUUUGGGCUCGAAGCCCUCUCCUUUGCUCCCCGGUCGCCGUGGCGAAUCCCGCAACAAAACCCUAGCCCAAAACCCCCCACAUAGGCACCCCGCAGUCCUGAACCCUCCUUUGCGGCUUUGCCUGGAGCCCCACCCGGAGCCACUAUCACACUCCGUCGCGCCUUCCGCCUCGCCCCUUGCGCUCCUGUCGAGCCGGCGGCGCGGUGCCCUCGCUACACACUCCCUGCGCCAAGCUCCGCCGGUACCGCCAUCGCGUUCGCCUCUCCCAGCACGCACGCUAGCUGCUAUUUACACUGAGAUGGAUUCUGAGGUUCUGGUGAAAGAGGUACUGAAAGAUGGAGGGGGGAAGGGGGAGGAGGGGAGCAAAGACGAAGCUGCUGUUCGUGCUGAGAUGAUUCCCGCGGUCUCGUUGAAAGAGGAAGUGGAAGGUGGAGGAAGUAAGGGGGAGGACCAGAGCAACGGCGAGGCUUCCGUUGAUGCUGAGAUGAAUUCUGAAGUCUCGGCGGAAGUGGAAAUGGAGAAUGGAGGAAGCAAGGGGAAGGAGGAGAGCGAGGCCGAGGAGGAAGAUGGGGAAUCAGGGGAGGCUACUUCGAGUAGUGAGGAGGAUGACGAGGAGGAGGAGGAGGAGUCAAGUGAAGCGUCGUCGAGCAGUGAUGAGGAAGAGCAGAGGGCCAAUAACCAUUGUGGUGUCGGUGACAUGGCGGCCCUCAUCGAGGAGGGCAAAUUGAUGGUUGGAAUCAAUGAUGAUGAUGAUGACGAGGAGGAGGAGGAAGCAUCGAAGGGUCAUAUCAACUCCAAACAUGAAGCAGAGAUCCUUCCUCCAGUGCCGAAGAUCGAAGUCCAGCUGGAACCACAUCAUAAGGCACUCCCAGUGGGAACAAUUUCAUCUAUCAUGGGUGAGAGAGUGAUUGUUGAAGGGUCAGUGCAACAUAAUCCCCUGAAUGAGGGUUCUAUACUCUGGAUAACUGAAAGCAGGACACCACUUGGUAUUGUUGAGGAAUUAUUUGGACCAGUAAAAAACCCAUACUAUCUCGUGCGGUAUAACUCUGUGGAAGAAGUCCCUUCUGGGAUCAGUGCUGGAACUGCUGUCUCUUUUGUUAUGGAAUUUGCAAAUCAUAUCUUAAAUGUGAAGGAGCUAUACACCAAAGGCUAUGAUGGAUCAGGAGAUAAUAUUGAGGACCAAACAGAUGAUCCUGAAUUCUCUGAUGACGAGAAGGAGGCUGAGUACAAAAGAUCAUUACGGCUGGCAAAAGGGCAGACUGAUAGGCAACUUGACUCUAAGAAGCAUUCUGGUGAUAGGAAGAGGAAGCAGCCCAGGGAUGCUGGAUUCCAUAAGGGUAUACCUAGGACCCAUGAUGUAGCAACACCAGCUCACCAAUCAAAACACCGUAUUUAUCGCUCAGAUAUGGCUCCUGUUGCUGAUAACUCAGCACGUUCACAUACGAGUGUACCAAUAAUGACGCCACCAGUCACAGUGAAUCCUGCUAUGGCAUCAGCCAUUCAGUUUGCAGACCAGAAAGGUGGCUGCUUCCCUAACCCAUCACAGCAGUUCUUACCACAGCAGCCAAAUGUGGUUUGGCCUGGUGGGUUUCCACCUUCUAUGUACCCGAACAUGGGAAUUAACGGAGCUGCUCUUGCAGCUAAUAUUAUUCAGAACAUACUCAGUGGAUCCAAUCAAUACCAGCAACAUUACCAGAAUCAGAAUUUUGGUGGAUUCCUCAAUGGAAUACCCAUGACCCCAACACAGUUUAUUCCGCAGAGCAGAAUGCCUGUAAAUCCAAUGCCUUUUGGUGGACCACAAGUAAAUCCUCCAUUUGGUCCAACAUCUGAACUGGGGAUGGGGCAGGGGAACUUUGGUAAUCUUGGGUACUUGGCCGGGGACCAAGGGCUGCCGCACCCUGGGUUGCCUAAUGCUCAGGGAUAUGGGCGCCUACCAUCGUCACAUGGAGGUGGUGCUCAGCGUCCUAUGCAAUUCAAUUCUGGACAGUCUAAUCAGGGGAGCUCGUCCUUCUCGGGAAGAAGGCCACAACAACAGGGAGGCCAGCACUCACAGGGGAGAGGUAGUGGUGGGCAUCACAAAUAG
rnacentral:rRNA from 1 species